AAGUCGUAACAAGGUUUCCGUAGGUGAACCUGCGGAAGGAUCAUUAUCGAGUUUUUGAACGGGUUGUAGCUGGCCUUUCACGAGGUAUGUGCACGCCUGGCUCAUCCACUCUCAACCUCUGUGCACUCUAUGUAAGAAAUGGUUUGAAACCAGCUUUCAUUAGCUGGUAGACGGCCUUUCUUAUGUUCAUUACAAACGUUUCAGUUAUAGAAUGUUUACUGUGUAUAAUCACAAUAUAUACAACUUUCAACAACGGAUCUCUUGGUUCUG
rnacentral:misc_RNA from 1 species